GACGAACGCUGGCGGCGUGCUUAACACAUGCAAGUCGAACGGAAAGGCCCUGCUCUUGUGGGGUGCUCGAGUGGCGAACGGGGGAGUAACACGUGAGUAACCUGCCCUUGACUUUGGGAUAACUUCAGGAAACUGGGGCUAAUACCGGAUAGGAGCUCCUGCUGCAUGGUGGGGGUUGGAAAGUUUCGGCGGUUGGGGCUGGACUCGCGGCUUAUCCGCUUGAUGGUGGAGUAGUGGCUUACCAAGGCUUUGACGGGUAGCCGGCCUGAGCGGGUGACCGGCCACAUUGGGACUGCGAUACGCACCAGACGCCUACGGGAGGCAGCAGGCGGGAAUAUUGCACAAUGGGCGGAAGCCUGAUGCAGCAACGCCGCGUGCGUGAUGACGGCCUUCGGGGUGUAAACCGCUUUCGCCGGUGACGUAGCGUGAGUGACGGUAAUGGGUAAAGAAGCACCGGCUAACUACGUG
rnacentral:rRNA from 1 species